GGAUGAAGAAGUUAUCCCACUUUCGAAUCAGGUGAUUCCAGUUUCCCAGUUUGGGAAUAGCAUAGCUUCUUCAUCGUUCCAAUCAAAGCAAGAUGAAUCACUUUGUGAAAAGCUUGAUUUUGUUGAGAUGAAGACCAAGAAGUGAAGAGAUGAAGCUUUGGGGAUGAAUGAAGUGAGACAGUAACUUUGGAGUUUUUACCAUAGUAACUUUGGAGUUUCACCAUUUCUGGAUAAAGGUAACUAAGUUAGAGCUUGGGAAGUUACCUUACAUCCAUUUGGAGAGUAAAAACGUCCAAGGGUAUUUGGAGAGGAUAAGGAGCACAUGGACAGGCUGUCUUGAGCUGGAAAGGGGAAAAUGCUUUAUUACUAUAGCAAGCAUGUGAGGAAACACAGCCAAGCAUUUCAAAAGGAGUUCCAGCCUGUCCAUUGACUCCACAUGCUUAUGGAUUUCGAAAUUCACUUUAUUAGCCUUAUCUCUUCAUAUAUAUCUUGUAUCUGAAUCAUUAAAUCAAUUAAUGGAGUUUUGAGUCUCUCUCUCUCUAGAAUCUCUCUAUUCUCUCUAAACUUUACUC
rnacentral:lncRNA from 1 species